rnacentral:rRNA from 1 species
UACAGAGGUCCCAAGCGUUGUUCGGAUUCAUUGGGCGUAAAGGGUGCGUAGGCGGCGCGGUAAGUCGGGUGUGAAAUCUCGGAGCUUAACUCCGAAACUGCAUUCGAUACUGCCGUGCUUGAGGACUGGAGAGGAGACUGGAAUUUACGGUGUAGCGGUGAAAUGCGUAGAUAUCGUAAGGAAGCCCAGUGGCGAAGGCGGGUCUCUGGACAGUUCCUGACGCUGAGGCACGAAGGCCAGGGGAGCAAACGGG